CCCAAACAGGAAGAUAAAUGCGUCAAGAAACAAGAGCUCUUCUAUGCAGGAUGCAACCAUGAUAUUUACCAGCGCUUGACUACAAUCCUAUCGAGAAUGGACAAAUUUUGCACCUUCUCCAGGAGCAUGUUAGCAAAUGGCUGCUUUUGGAUAUACCACUUGAAACUGAAUUUUUUUU